GACGAACGCUGGCGGCGUGCCUAAUACAUGCAAGUGCACGCUGAAGGAGGAGCUUGCUCUUCUGGAUGAGUUGCGAACGGGUGAGUAACGCGUAGGUAACCUGCCUGGUAGCGGGGGAUAACUAUUGGAAACGAUAGCUAAUACCGCAUAACAGUAGAUGUUGCAUGACAUUUGCUUAAAAGGUGCAAUUGCACCACUACCAGAUGGACCUGCGUUGUAUUAGCUAGUUGGUGGGGUAACGGCUCACCAAGGCGACGAUACAUAGCCGACCUGAGAGGGUGAUCGGCCACACUGGGACUGAGACACGGCCCAGACUCCUACGGGAGGCAGCAGUAGGGAAUCUUCGGCAAUGGACGGAAGUCUGACCGAGCAACGCCGCGUGAGUGAAGAAGGUUUUCGGAUCGUAAAGCUCUGUUGUAAGAGAAGAACGAGUGUGAGAGUGGAAAGUUCACACUGUGACGGUAUCUUACCAGAAAGGGACGGCUAACUACGUG
rnacentral:rRNA from 1 species